rnacentral:rRNA from 1 species
UACGUAGGGUGCGAGCGUUGUCCGGAAUUAUUGGGCGUAAAGAGCUCGUAGGCGGUGUGUCACGUCGGCCGUGAAAACCUGCAGCUUAACUGUGGGCGUGCGGUCGAUACGGGCAGGCUAGAGUUCGGUAGGGGAGACUGGAAUUCCUGGUGUAGCGGUGAAAUGCGCAGAUAUCAGGAGGAACACCGGUGGCGAAGGCGGGUCUCUGGGCCGAUAUUGACGCUGAGGAGCGAAAGCGUGGGGAGCGAACAGG